UUACAAAACCUAUCGUUUUCACUUGCCGCCGUUUCACCCAUUUAUGUAUUUCAUUUCCUAUCGCCUAUCCAACAACCGCCGUCUUUCUUCCACCGGAAAAAAAGCAUCCUGAAGGCUGAAACCUACUCUACCCGCCGAUUCAUUACUUUACCUAUUGCAUUUUAUGACCACUUCCUAAAUUUUAAAUUCGGUUCAUCUGCUAUUUACUGAAACAUCCUGCCAUCCCAUCUAAUCCUGUUUUGGUGGAGUAAUCUAGCUCGAUCGGGUUGAAUUAGUGCUCUAUUUUCAAGAUUUCGAGUUGAGAUGGAUACAUUUACUUGCCCAUUUAUCCUCGCAGAACUCAUAAUUUGGCAGCGCAGUUGCGAACUACAUCGUCGUCUUGGUUCAAUGUUAUAUUUUCUUUCCUGGGGGCUUUAAUAAGCCCUUUUCUGCUUUGGAUGAUGAAAGUCAUUGGUGCUUCCAGAGUUGUGAUAUCGAAGGUUCAUAGUCCACUGUUGUUAAUGGGAAGCCUUUGUAAUGAGUUUUCUCUCGGUUUAUAUAUUAUUUCCUCUUAGAAAAACUGGGAUGAAUGUUAAUUUUUUUAAAAAAAACAAUUUAAAUGUUAAAUCAUGUUUUUAUAUAUAUAUAUAUAUAAGUGAAAUUAAUGGUAUUGUCAGGUUAAAUGUUUGUAUAGCAGACUCAAUUUAGGCCAUGUGCUUUUAGAUUUAAUAGUUUAUGUUAUAGUUUGCAAUUUGUAAUAGUUUUAUUACUUUUAAAAUUAAGUAUUGAACUUUAAUAUUAUAAUAAAAUUGAAUUGGUGUAUGUAAUUAAUAAAGGAAUAAGAGGUCCAAUAUUGAAAAAUUGA